AAAAUAUUUGGAUCGUCAGACUACUGAGUACGAAAUUCCACCCGCUCGGUGGAAGAUCUUCCCUUUGUAAU
rnacentral:pre_miRNA from 1 species